CAAUUUUUUAAAGGACUGGAACUUUAUAAGGAAAUAGGUAAUGAAGGCAAAUAUAAUUAUAGUGGAUACAUAAGAAAUAAUGGUAUUCAAUUGUAAAUUCUUGAUAUGAUCACUGAUACUGGAGUUAGAGAAACUGGGUUUAGGAUCAAUGUUAGACUUGCAACUCCUACUAAAGAUCUCUGCAACCUCCUCUGCUGGAGUUCCAGUGUUUCUGUCUCUCAGAGUGAAGGGCCAUGGAACCUCAGAAGGACUUCUGAGCUCUGAGAUAACAUACUUGCAGGGUAAAGAUGGAAGCAGCACAGUAACCAGAAACAACACCGGUAGUAAAGCCAUUGCUGGAAACUAAGUCAAGAAAAACAAAGGUCUGCAUUGAAAUAUGUAGUUUAAAAAACUUCUAAGAGGGGGAAUACCAAUAUAAUGAUCUCGAUUAUCUCAAAGGAACUGUGAUUCCCAGAUUCAUUAACAAUGGAACAAAAGAAGAAUUGCCCUAUGGUACUAGUAGAAUCAUAAUGAGGCCAACCUUGUCUUUGAUAGUGACAAUAAAGAAAAAGCUGAAGAACUCUACUGAUGCCCUUGAGGUACAUCUAUAAAAGAGAGAGACCUACUCCCUUCUUUCUGCCUACUUCUGCUACCCUUACGCCAUCAAAAAGAAAAUAGAUUCCUUAAUAGUUAAUUAUAGUACUGACAUUCAUUCUUCAUCUCAAUUUUUGGAGGAAAGUUUAUUUUCAAUAUGUACCAUCUCUCAAUUGGCUAUUCUAUACGAAAAGUAAAACGGUUUGUCCUUUUAUUUAUACCAGACUCUAAUUAAGAUGACAAGGUUGUGAUUACACAGAUAUGGUUGUGCAAAUACUUUAUUAGCUGUUAUUUCCCUAAUGGAGUAACUAGAAGUUAUGUUUAUUUUCUUCCUUAUACUUGUGAAUAUUUUCAAAUUUCUCUGUAUACAAAAAAUACAAUUAAUGCAUUGAAGAUAUAGCUUAUUCAAGUUUACUCAAUCCAUUAUUUGGUAAGAAGAUUGUUUCGUAUUUUCAUUAUCUCCUAAAAAGACACUCAGCAUUUUGUUACCCAUGUUGUCCUUUCUCAAUAUGUCAAAAAGUCUCACGUCCUUCAGAUGAAACAACAAGACCACUUAGUUUUGGAAACACUCACCUUUCUGUCAUUAGUCAUAUAAAUUGUUUAAUUUGUAAAUUAAAGUUAUGCUGCCUAGAUUUGUUUCUUGUGUGUGAGACUGUCACUCCCAAAUUCUUGGAAAGAAAGAAAAUUCCGAACAAUUUAUCUGUGAUGCUUCUCAGGCUUCACUUACUGUAAAUAGUGUAUCAUUGAUACUUGUUCCAUCCAUUGCCUUUAUGCUCAAUUAUGUGCAAAAAAGGGAUGAGGGAUGAACAAUUAUUGACGGUUCAUGGAAAAUGAUAUACAAUUUCACUCCCAUACCUUACUGGGUAUUACUAUUUAUAUUGUAUGGAUGAUGUAAUUGAGGCUUAAGACAGUUAAUUAACCUAUGCCAAUGCUACGUUCUUAGGUAAUGUCAGAAAUUAGUCUUCAUCCAAUUAUGACUUCGAAGUCAAUGACUUUGAAAGAGACAUUGACUCAUUGAAAGAGACACAGUUUUAAUUGGGAAAAGGCAGACAUUGUUGCAGCACAAUGGAGACCCUUUAUUUUUACUUUAAUAAUUCCCUUAUUAAUACAUAACUGUAUAUGUUAAUAGUAAAAUCAUUAAUAUGCCAGCUUAUACAAUAUACUUAAACAGCCAUACUUUUCCAUUUUCCUAUUAAAGGUAGUUCUAGUAUAAUUGUCUCAAGUCACAAACAUGAGAAUUAAUUCCAUUACUUAUUUUUAGAAUAAAAUGUAAAAAAUUUUUACAUAUCAAAUUUUUUUGUGUGUGUGCGUAAUAUUGCUGUAAUUUACCUUCUUAACUGUAAAAGAAUAAAAUUAACUUGAGGUCAUUCUCAAUACAAAUUUAUUAAAGUUUUGAAAAUCAUGGAUAGGCCAGGCACAGUGGCUCAUUCCUAUAAUCCUAACAUUUUGGGAGACUGAGGUGAGAGCACAUAACUUGAGCCCAGGAGUUCAAGAUCAGCCUGGAAAGCACAGUGAGACCUCAUCUCUACUAAAAACAAACAAACAAAAACAAAACAUAAUUAGCUGGGCAUGGUGGCAAGUGCCUGUAGUCCCAGCUACUCAGGAGGCUGAGGUGGGAUGAUCAUUUGAGCCUAGGAGUUUGAGGCAGCAGUGAACUAUGAUCACAGCACUGCAUUCCAGCCUGGGUGACAGAAAGAGACCCUGUCUCUAAAACAAACAAACAAACAGACAAACAAAAAACAAAAAAAUAAAAUCAUGGGCAAACUCAUUAAUCAUUUUACCCUUGACAACAUAAAAAUGAUUGGCAUGAUAAAAUAUUCACAUUAAAAUCAAUGAUUUAACACUUACUGUUGGUUUUCUGAGCAGGAUGAAAUAUCUACUUUAUCUUUAGAAAGAAAGAAGGUGGAAGGUUUAGAGCAGCAUAUAUAUUACACAUAUUCCUGUUUUGUCAAACUCUGGUUUUGUUAAAUAAAUCUAAGUCAACAAAGUUCUGAAGUAGUAUUUUUCAUACCAGUAACCUUAAACUUCAUUGUCAGUUGUCUGAUAAUGCUUUUGACAUUAUUUGCUUCCCACAUAGUUUUUAACAUGAGUAAGUAAAUCAUGCCCUCCCUUUCUAAUCAGUUCUCCCUUCUCCUUAGGCACACGAUAAUCUGCAUGUGGCCUUUUUGGACUAGUAUUUCUAUAUUGACAACCCAAGACAGGUUAACUACUGUGAAGGUUACCAGGAUUCUGC
rnacentral:lncRNA from 1 species